AAGUCGUAACAAGGUUUCCGUAGGUGAACCUGCGGAAGGAUCAUUGUCGAGACCGGAAUAGGAUGACCCGCGCACAGUGAUGGAACUCUCCGGGGCGGUGGUACUGCCUCGGCCCCGUGGCGCCUCCCUGCCUGCAGGUAGGAGGGCUCCGCGAUUAAAACCCGGCGCGAAAUUGACGCCAAGGUACACUGGCAAACAGCAGGCUUCGGACCGCGGCCGUGCCGUGCGAACGUCGCCUGAACAAAUGAUGGAAUGACUCUCGGCAACGGAUAUCUCGGCUCUCGCAUCGAUGAAGAACGUAGCGAAAUGCGAUACGUGGUGUGAAUUGCAGAAUCCCGUGAACCAUCGAGUUUUUGAACGCAAGUUGCGCCCGAGGCCAUUCGGCUGAGGGCACGCCUGCCUGGGCGUCAGUUGCCCACUAGCGCUCCUUGCCCAUCUUUUACGUGGCGGGAUGCGGAGCAUGGCCAUCCUUGCCCUCGGGCUCGGCGGGCCGAAGCAUGUGGCUUGCCGAUUGGGGCCGGCAGUGGCGAGUGGUGGAUUGCUCACGCGAGCCGUACGUCGCCCGUCGUGCCCCCGAGCGGGAAGCCUCGUGUCACCCCGGACGCACGGAUGCCGAACGGCAUCCUCGGACCAAGACCCCAGGUCAGGCGGGGCCACCCGCUGAGUUUAA
rnacentral:rRNA from 1 species